CGGGUGAGUAAUGUCUGGGAAACUGCCCGAUGGAGGGGGAUAACUACUGGAAACGGUAGCUAAUACCGCAUAACGUCGCAAGACCAAAGAGGGGGACCUUAGGGCCUCUUGCCAUCGGAUGUGCCCAGAUGGGAUUAGCUAGUAGGUGGGGUAAUGGCUCACCUAGGCGACGAUCCCUAGCUGGUCUGAGAGGAUGAUCAGCCACACUGGGACUGAGACACGGCCCAG
rnacentral:rRNA from 1 species